UACGUAGGGUGCAAGCGUUGUCCGGAAUUAUUGGGCGUAAAGAGCUCGUAGGCGGUUUGUUGCGUCGGCUGUGAAAUCCCGAGGCUCAACCUCGGGUCUGCAGUCGAUACGAGCAAACUAGAGUGUUGCAGGGGAGACUGGAAUUCCUGGUGUAGCGGUGAAAUGCGCAGAUAUCAGGAGGAACACCGGUGGCGAAGGCGGGUCUCUGGGCAACAACUGA
rnacentral:rRNA from 1 species